rnacentral:sRNA from 1 species
CAGGAGGUGGGCGGGAGGCCGCGGAGGAACCGGAGGCUCCGCCCGAUCGCCGAGAUCUACGCCGCCACGGCGCCGAUCGGCGGCGGAAGGAAGGCCAAGGCCAAGGCCGCCGGCGUAGAGUAGUAGUAGCCGGCCGGGGAGGGACUUGUUUGUAAAUAUAAGUUAUUUGCAGGGACUAGCUUGUUGAGUAAGUAAUAUUUAAGGGCGUGAUUAGAUUAAUUGCUAGCGUAGCUUAGUUGUAAAUUAUGUUACUACUACUAGAGGUUUUGAGUUUAAUCAAUCAAUCGUCCUACUAUAAAUAUUAUCAUGUUUGUUUUCUUUACAAGAGGAAUGAAAAACCUAUAUAUAAU